UACGGAGGGUGCAAGCGUUAUCCGGAUUCACUGGGUUUAAAGGGUGCGUAGGCGGGUUUGUAAGUCAGUGGUGAAAUCCUGGAGCUUAACUCCAGAACUGCCAUUGAUACUAUAAGUCUUGAAUAUUGCGGAGGUAAGCGGAAUAUGUCAUGUAGCGGUGAAAUGCUUAGAUAUGACAUAGAACACCCAUUGCGAAGGCAGCUUACUACACAUAUAUUGACGCUGAGGCACGAAAGCGUGGGGAUCAAACAGGAUUAGAUACCCUGGUAGUCCACGCCCUAAACUAUGGAUACUCGACAUACGCGAUACACUGUGUGUGUCUGAGCGAAAGCAUUAAGUAUCCCACCUGGGAAGUACGACCGCAAGGUUGAA
rnacentral:rRNA from 1 species